rnacentral:rRNA from 1 species
AGUGAACGCUGGCGGUAGGCCUAACACAUGCAAGUCGAACGGCAGCACAGGAGAGCUUGCUCUCUGGGUGGCGAGUGGCGGACGGGUGAGGAAUACAUCGGAAUCUACUUUUUCGUGGGGGAUAACGUAGGGAAACUUACGCUAAUACCGCAUACGACCUACGGGUGAAAGCAGGGGACCUUCGGGCCUUGCGCGAUUGAAUGAGCCGAUGUCGGAUUAGCUAGUUGGCGGGGUAAAGGCCCACCAAGGCGACGAUCCGUAGCUGGUCUGAGAGGAUGAUCAGCCCCACUGGAACUGAGACACGGGCCAGACUCCUACGGGAGGCAGCAGUGGGGAAUAUUGGACAAUGGGCGCAAGCCUGAUCCAGCCAUACCGCGUGGGUGAAGAAGGCCUUCGGGUCGUAAAGCCCUUUUGUUGGGAAAGAAAUCCAGCUGGCUAAUACCCGGUUGGGAUGACGGUACCCAAAGAAUAAGCACCGGCUAACUUCGUGCCAGCCGCCGCCGUAA